CCUCUCUCCCCUGGACCACUGUGGUCUGUCUUAUCUGUCUCCCCAGGUACAAUGACAAUAAUCCCGGUUCUCCCUUGAGCAACUUUCAAGCUUUCUUGUCGAUACAUAAUGUAAUAAUGGAGACAUGACUUUCAGAUAUAACCUCUUGUUCUGAGUUAUUUUCAAUGGAUCUGACACUUCCUGCUCAGUUAGGUGAUUCCUGUUUCUCCAUGUUCUACAAU